AGAAUCAACGCUGGCGGCGUGCCUAACACAUGCAAGUCGAACGAGAAAGGGGUAGCAAUACCCUGAGUAAAGUGGCGCACGGGUGAGUAACACGUGACUAACCUACCCUUGAGUGGGGGAUAACUGAGGGAAACCUUAGCUAAUACCGCAUAAUACCCACGGGUCAAAGGAGCAAUUCGCUCGAGGAGGGGGUCGCGGCCGAUUAGUUAGUUGGCGGGUAAUGGCCCACCAAGACGAUGAUCGGUAU
rnacentral:rRNA from 1 species